AAUGUCAUUGUGAUCAUUUCCCGCAUUGGCUUGUCUUAGAGAAUGCCACGCUUCAAGGAACAAGGAAGCGUGGCAUUCUCUAAGACAAGCCAAUGCGGGAAAUGAUCACAAUGA
rnacentral:miRNA from 1 species